rnacentral:rRNA from 1 species
GAACUGAUGUCUCUCNAAUGUCAUAACGACUCUCGGCAACGGAUAUCUCGGCUCUCGCAUCGAUGAAGAACGUAGCGAAAUGCGAUACUUGGUGUGAAUUGCAGAAUCCCGUGAACCAUCGAGUUUUUGAACGCAAGUUGCGCCCGAAGCCAUUCGGCCGAGGGCACGUCUGCCUGGGCGUCACGCAUCGCGUCG